GGGAAACGCCCGGACCCAUCCCGAACCCGGAAGCUAAGCCCUCCAGCGCCGAUGGUACUGCACCCGCCAGGGUGUGGGAGAGUAGGACACCGCCGAAC
rnacentral:rRNA from 1 species